UAUGAUGGGAAGGGUCGGUCCUAGGACCCGGGAGGCCUUAGGGGAGGUCGAAAACGGGGGCCUUUUUAUCAUUGUUCCAAAAAUUGGUCGAGGCGGCCGAUGAAUCGGUCUUUGAGGCGGAGCCGGUCCCAAACCUAUACGAUUUUAGAGUAAAGUUUUGAAAAAUCAGGUUUUUGUAAAUGAGGCAGUUUUAGGCGGUUUGAGGCGGGUUGAGGCCGUCCAAGGCGGUCAAACCUUGAAGGCGGCUCAAACUUUGGUGGCAAAAAUCUGCCAAAAAUGGUGAAAAAAAUCAGUUUUUUUCUUUUAUUUAUUUAUUUAUUUUACUUAUUUUUUAUUUUUUUAAAUUCAAAAUAAAAGUAGGGACUUUAAUGAAAAAAAAAUGAGUUUAUGAUUUAUUUUGUUUAUGUCAAUAUUAUUUGUUUUAAAUAACCUAAUGAUGUAUGUCAAGAAUGUUAAGAAUAAAU
rnacentral:lncRNA from 1 species